rnacentral:rRNA from 1 species
CGUGUAGGCGGUCCGGUAAGUCCGCUGUGAAAGUCGGGGGCUCAACCCUCGGAUGCCGGUGGAUACUGUCGGGCUUGAGUACGGAAGAGGCGAGUGGAAUUCCUGGUGUAGCGGCGAAAUGCGCAGAUAUCAGGAGGAACACCAAUUGCGAAGGCAGCUCGCUGGGACGUUACUGACGCUGAGACGCGAAAGCGUGGGAGCAAACA